ensembl:snRNA U6 U6 spliceosomal RNA
CUGCUCGCUUUGGCAGCACACAUACUAAAAUCGGAACAAUACAGAGGUUAGCAUGACCCCUGUGCAAGGAUGAUAGGCAAACUUGUGAAGCAUUCUGUAUUUUU